rnacentral:rRNA from 1 species
UUCCGGUUGAUCCUGCCGGACCCGUCUGCUAUCAGAGUGGGACUAAGCCAUGCGAGUCAACAUAGCAAUAUGUGGCAUACGGCUCAGUAACACGUAGUCAACAUGCCCAGGGGGCGUGGAUAACCUCGGGAAACUGAGGAUAAACCGCGAUAGGUCAUCACUUCUGGAAUGGGUAAUGACUUAAAUCUAUAUGGCCCCUGGAUUGGACUGCGGCCGAUCAGGCUGUUGGUGAGGUAAUGGCCCACCAAACCUGUAACCGGUACGGGCUCUGAGAGGAGGAGCCCGGAGAUGGGCACUGAGACAAGGGCCCAGGCCCUAUGGGGCGCAGCAGGCGCGAAACCUCUGCAAUAGGCGAAAGCUUGACAGGGUUACUCUGAGUGAUUUCCGUUAAGGAGAUCUUUUGGCACCUCUAAAAAUGGUGCAGAAUAAGGGGUGGGCAAGUCUGGUGUCAGCCGCCGCGGUAAUACCAGCACCCCGAGUGGUCGGGACGUUUAUUGGGCCUAAAGCAUCCGUAGCCGGUUCUACAAGUCUUCCGUUAAAUCCACCUGCUUAACAGGUGGGCUGCGGAAGAUACUAUAGAGCUAGGAGGCGGGAGAGGCAAGCGGCACUCGAUGGGUAGGGGUAAAAUCCGUUGAUCCAUUGAAGACCACCAGUGGCGAAGGCGGCUUGCCAGAACGCGCUCGACGGUGAGGGAUGAAAGCUGGGGGAGCAAACCGGAUUAGAUACCCGGGUAGUCCCAG